rnacentral:rRNA from 1 species
GGCGGACGGGUGAGUAAUGUCUGGGAAACUGCCUGAUGGAGGGGGAUAACUACUGGAAACGGUGGCUAAUACCGCAUAACGUCGCAAGACCAAAGAGGGGGACCUUCGGGCCUCUUGCCAUCAGAUGUGCCCAGAUGGGAUUAGCUUGUUGGUGAGGUAACGGCUCACCAAGGCGACGAUCCCUAGCUGGUCUGAGAGGAUGACCAGCCACACUGGAACUGAGACACGGUCCAGACUCCUACGGGAGGCAGCAGUGGGGAAUAUUGCACAAUGGGCGCAAGCCUGAUGCAGCCAUGCCGCGUGUAUGAAGAAGGCCUUCGGGUUGUAAAGUACUUUCAGCGGGGAGGAAGGUGUUGUGGUUAAUAACCGCAGCAAUUGACGUUACCCGCAGAAGAAGCACCGGCUAACUCCGUGCCAGCAGCCGCGGUAAUACGGAGGGUGCAAGCGUUAAUCGGAAUUACUGGGCGUAAAGCGCACGCAGGCGGUCUGUCAAGUCGGAUGUGAAAUCCCCGGGCUCAACCUGGGAACUGCAUUCGAAACUGGCAGGCUUGAGUCUUGUAGAGGGGGG